AGGACGAACGCUGGCGGCGUGCUUAACACAUGCAAGUCGAGCGGAAAGGCCCUUCGGGGUACUCGAGCGGCGAACGGGUGAGUAACACGUGAGUAAUCUGCCCCUAGCUCUGGGAUAGCUCCGGGAAACCGGGAUUAAUACCGGAUAUGACCACUUUAGACAUCUGCUGUGGUGGAAAGAAUUUCGGCUAGGGAUGAGCUCGCGGCCUAUCAGCUUGUUGGUGGGGUAACGCCUACCAAGGCGACGACGGGUAGCCGGCCUGAGAGGGCGACCGGCCACACUGGGACUGAGACACGGCCCAGACUCCUACGGGAGGCAGCAGUGGGGAAUAUUGCGCAAUGGGCGAAAGCCUGACGCAGCGACGCCGCGUGGGGGAUGAAGGCCUUCGGGUUGUAAACCCCUUUCAGCAGGGACGAAGCGAAAGUGACGGUACCUGCAGAAGAAGACGCCGGCUAACUACGUGCCAGCAGCCGC
rnacentral:rRNA from 1 species